GGUGGGGAGUAUGAAGGAGAAAAGGAGGUUUUACAAGAUCCUUCUCUGGUUCACAAAAGUCAGCGACACGGGCGCUUCACUCCAGAACAAAGACACUGCGGCCCAUUCACAAAAGGGAGAAAAAGAGAGAGAGACAGAGAGAGAGGGAGAGAGACAGAGAGAAACAAUAACUGAAAGAGAGAAAAGGAAAAACAUGGAAAGGAAAAGCUUUAACAGGAAAAGAAACUGCGCACAGCGCAGCGCCGAUCCGGGCGGAGACACACCUCAGGCUCGCAGAAGCCCCCGCAGGGAGUAGCAAGCGAGGCCCGCGGCUCGGAGCCCCAGAGAUGGGUGUAGAGGUUUAAAGAAAGAAAUUAAAUACACCCCGCCUUCAUUUCUGGUAAAAAGGCGCGGGCCGGAGCACACUAGUUUGUGCAUGAGACAUUGAGGGAGUCGGGCUGUGGGGGCGCUUCUGCAGAGUCGGCCUCCCUAGCCAGGCACUGCCCUAGCGGGGCCUGCGCACUCUGCCUGGGCCAGCACUCCGGUGCCAGGGUUCGUGCCCUUGUAGUAGUUCCUCAAUCACUCGCACUCCUGCUUCCUCCCGGCCCUGUUUGGCCCGCAGCUGCAUCGCCCGGCCCAGGUCCGGCGCGGUGCGGUGGUGCGGCUGUGCGCGCUGGAAUGUGCUCAGGCGGUCCCCAGGGCCAGCCUCUCGGGAGUCCGGCGCUCUCGGUUCCAGAUGCUGCCACCGUCUCGGGGAAGUUGGGAGCAGGCCCUUUUGAGAUGGUGGAAAGUUUUUCAACUCCAAAUACAGCCCAGUAUCGUGCCCUGCAUUCAAGAGGACCACAUCUUCCUCACGAUAAGUCUGGUGGAUACACAAACUUAUGAAACCAGUGGCAAGUUUUCAUUGCAAGGAAGUAGCAGCAGUGUUUAAGAGUUCGCUCCAAAUGCUCAUCUUCUUCUUCGGCCCUGGAAGUCACACAGGAAAAACAAUUAUUUUCCUUCGUGGAGGGCAGAGCAGCACUCCCGUCUCACCCCGCGUUCCGAGGCCAGCGGGGCCAGUGGGAGGCUGCCCGCCCAGGACCUCCGCUCUGAACUUUCCACAAACUUCCCCGCCCCUCAGCACACAGUAGAGCCUCGACCCCGACCCCACCGCCCACUCACUGCUUCUCCUGCGCGUCCAGGUCUCUGACGAGCGCGUCGCGCUUGUUCACUAGGGCCACAAGCUCAUCCAGCAGGAGUUGCUCACGUCGUUUCUGGGCCUCGGUCUUCUGCCAGUCUGCGGAGGACGGGAGGCUCGUUACCCACCCGCAGAGCCAACGCACACAGGCUCCCGCCCUCCUUGGCCCUCCUUUUCUAGUUUCCUUGUAUUCCUCUGCAAACCGUAUUAUAGAGCCACUAGCUAGUGUUUUAUGGGGAGUUUGGACGUCGUGGUGAAGAUUUCACCCGCCAAACCCAACUCCCUAAAUAUUUCCUACAGAUGGGGACAGCUACGGCUGGGCUGGAACCUGAAAAACAGACCAGGUGUGAGCCGCGGCCAGCCGGAGCUGCGCACCUGAUUUCAGCCAAAAAGGGGAGGGGAGAGGUGGAGGCCCAGAGGCCGUUGGCCUCAGGGUUGGGGUUGGGGUUGAGGGUAAAUGAGGGGGCGGGAAGAAAAGAUGGGAGAAAAAAAUCCUUCUGAAAAGGCUAGAGAAUCUGCCUGGGAACCUACCCUCCUCCCCCACCCUCGUGCUCACCCCAUACAGCCCAUUCUUCGCUAAUUUCCUCUUCGCUCUAUUUUAGCAGUUGGAUGUAUCUCACACUGGGCGCCAUAUGCUUCACAAUAACUUUAAAAGUAGUGAAUCGGCUAAUUAGCAUUUUUCUUUGAAGUAAAAAAUAAAUUUGCUCUGCAAUAUUACACUGCAGCUCUCGA